GUGGCCACCUGUGCCCCCUUUUCUCAGCCUGUUCUUCUUUGGGCCUCCUGGGACACUCAAGCACCCCAGGACAAGUCAGGGCCAGCAGACUCCGCCUGCAAAGAGGGCCCCCAUCGCAGAAGCCCUUGGAGACGUCAGCCCUUACGGUGCAGAGGGGAGAUGGAGCCACCGUGCAAAGGAUGCUCCAGCCUCACAGCCAGGAGGCUGGAUAAGGCCGAGUGCACCAGGCCCUUGGGCAGCCCAGUGGGCAGAGCCCAGAAGAGGGGGCCACACGGCCUGGCCUAAGGAGCAGGGUGGGGACCCCGCACCAGGCAGACACCGUCAAGCCUCCUCAUGCCCCCUUGGCCUUCCCUUACUUGUCUGGGGCUCCCUUCCUGCAAUCAAAGAGCCCCUGGCACCUCCAGCCCUUGGGCCAGGGGACCUGGACCCCACCCCCAUGCGUCCCUAGAAGCUAAAGGGACCCUGUGGAAGGGGGCUGGACUUAGGCUUCUUGCCCCCCAGGUAGGCAUCAGGGGAGCAGGGCAGGUCAACGGCUGCUCAGAAGCCUGGCAGGGUUUGCAGGGCGUGGGCUGCCCCAAGCUCAUCUGCACAGAGCGCUGACUUCCGGCCCCAGGACCAGAGCAGGAGACAUGGCCGGGGAAGAAGAGCAAAGGUGGCUCCUGUAAUUCAUUUGGGGGCGUGAGGUGAAGACGGGGCCAGCGCCCCUGGGGCAGCUGAGACCAGGGCGGGGAAGACCAUAAAUCAGGCAGGAGCCAGUGCCCGGUGCCCCAAGCAAAAACUGGAGUGAAAUGUACCUGCCAAGGGUGAGAAAACAGCAAACACACAGAGCAGCACCAAGAAAUCGUCGCCCUGAGAUGACGGGAGCAGACGUAUGACUGGCAAUGGCAAGAGCAAAACACAUGAGCGGAUUUUCCCCUCGCAGCCUCAGAUCUGCUUUCUGUCCUUGUGGGUUUGCCUCCUCUGGGUACGUUCUGAGUUAAUUUUU